rnacentral:rRNA from 1 species
UACGUAGGGGGCAAGCGUUGUCCGGAAUUAUUGGGCGUAAAGAGCUCGUAGGCGGCCUGUUGCGUCCGCUGUGAAAUCCCGGGGCUUAACCCCGGGCGUGCAGUGGAUACGGGCAGGCUGGAGGCAGGCAGGGGAGAACGGAAUUCCCGGUGUAGCGGUGAAAUGCGCAGAUAUCGGGAGGAACACCGGUGGCGAAGGCGGUUCUCUGGGCCUGACCUGACGCUGAGGAGCGCAAGCGUGGGGAGCGAACAGG